UACGGAGGGUGCAAGCGUUAUCCGGAUUCACUGGGUUUAAAGGGUGCGUAGGUGGGCAGGUAAGUCCGUGGUGAAAUCUCUGAGCUUAACUCAGAAACUGCCGUGGAUACUAUCUGUCUUGAAUAUUGUGGAGGUAAGCGGAAUAUGUCAUGUAGCGGUGAAAUGCUUAGAUAUGACAUAGAACACCAAUUGCGAAGGCAGCUUACUACACAGUAAUUGACGCUGAGGCACGAAAGCGUGGGGAUCAAACAGG
rnacentral:rRNA from 1 species